CUGGUCGGUUUGGAUGCUUCUAGAUGAAAUUUGGAUUCGUUUCUUCACGCAACCUGCUUGCUGGCAGAAUUCAGCUGUCAUCUUUGAAAAAUCAUAUAUCCCUCAUAUGACAUCGUUUUUGGCUGAAAUUUGGAGCGUUUAUAGAUCUUUGAGUAAGGAAUCCAACAAAAUUGAGUUUGCAUCAAUUGGACUUCUGAAGCUCCAGAUAUUGAAUUUUUAAUGGGCAAAGGUCAACAUUGGCAGACUGCGAGAUUUGACUUUGAAGGAUGUGAUUUCCAU
rnacentral:lncRNA from 1 species